CAGCGUCGACACACAACGGCACAGAAGAGCCGAGCUCUCCCGGAGAAGCGCUGAAAAUCAGUGCGAGCGGAAUUCCACGCCGUGCUGCUACAUCAGGAACAGGAAAAACUACACGCAAGAGUGGCUCAGCCAUGGCUAAGAACCUGACAGCUGCGCUCGCCACGGAGCACGUUCCACUACGGCUGCUUGUUGUAUUUGUUGUUGCAUUUUAAGCUGAAACGCUCCUUAUAACUUCAGCAAGAAAGGGGGUGGCUAAACUGUCGUAGGCUGAAUUUGCAUAUGUAUAUAAAUGUGUUGUUUGUCAUGACAUCACAAAAACAAUGGCAUCAAAACAGA